GACGAACGCUGGCGGCGUGCUUAACACAUGCAAGUCGAACGGAACGGCCCUGCCUUUGUGGGCUGCUCGAGUGGCGAACGGGUGAGUUACACGUGAGUAACCUGCCCUUCACUUUGGGAUAACUUAAGGAAGCUGGGGCUAAUCCCGGCUAGGAGCUACUGCUGCUUGGUGGGGGUGGGAUAGUUUCGGUGGUUGGGGAUGGACUCGCGGCCUAUCAGCUUGUUGGUGGGGUAGUGGAUUACCAAGGCCUUGACGGGUAGCCGGGCUGAUCGGGGGACCGGCCACAUCGGAACUGGAAUGCGACCCAGCCCCCAACGGGAGGCAGCAGUGGGGAAUGUUGCACUGUGGGCGGGAGGAUGACGUGACAACGCCACGUGCGGGGAGACAGCAUUCGGGUUGUAAACCGCAUUCGCCUUAGACGAGACGUUAGUGACGGUAACGGGUAAAGAAGCACCGGCUAACUACGUG
rnacentral:rRNA from 1 species